AACCCGUGGUGAGGUCAUAGCCUAUGUAUUCCUUUGAAUCUAUCACAUGCUUCAUAUAAGAAUUCAGUUUCAUUUUGGGAGAAGCUUGCAAUCAGAUUCCUUAUGUG